rnacentral:rRNA from 1 species
CCUACGGGAGGCAGCAGUGGGGAAUAUUGGACAAUGGGCGAAAGCCUGAUCCAGCAAUUCCGCGUGUGUGAAGAAGGCCUUCGGGUUGUAAAGCACUUUAGGUUGGGAAGAAAAGCUUCGACUAAUAAUCGGAGUGUUGACGGUACCAACAGAAUAAGCACCGGCUAACUCUGUGCCAGCAGCCGCGGUAAUACAGAGGGUGCAAGCGUUAAUCGGAUUUACUGGGCGUAAAGCGUGCGUAGGUGGUUUUGUAAGUCGGAUGUGAAAGCCCCGGGCUCAACCUGGGAACUGCGUUCGAUACUGCGAGACUCGAGUUUGGUAGAGGGUGGCGGAAUUCCCGGUGUAGCGGUGAAAUGCGUAGAUAUCGGGAGGAACAUCAAUGGCGAAGGCAGCCACCUGGGCCUGAACUGACACUGAGGCACGAAAGCGUGGGUAGCAAACAGGAUUAGAUACCCUGGUAGUCCCACGACCGUAACGAUAGAGAACUAGUACGUCGGUCCGUUUACCGUACGUCGGUGUCGUAGCGUACGACGAUAAGUUACUCCGUCCGUCGGGUAGGUACGGCCGGCGACGGUUAGGUAAACGUACGUAAGUAGUAAGUUAGUUACGGUCGUUGAGACGUUGCCGACGGACGACGACGAGGGAGGAGG